rnacentral:rRNA from 1 species
CCCUUAGAUGUUCUGGGCCGCACGCGUGCUACACUGAGUGGAUCAGCGGGUCAGGUUGCGCGAAAGCGUUUCCUACUCUUUAAAUCCGCUCGUGAUGGGGAUUGACGGUUGCAAUUUUCUGUCAUGAACGAGGAAUACCUUGUAAGCGCGGGUCAUCAUCCCGCGCUGAAUACGUCCCUGCCCUUUGUACACACCGCCCGUCGCUCCUACCGAUUGAGUGGUCCGGUGAGGCUUUGGGAUCUGAGCGGAAAGAGCGUUUCGCUGUUUCUGCUCGGAAAACUCAGUCGAACCUUAUCAUUUAGAGGAAGGAGAAGUCGUAACA